ACGGGUGCGGAACACGUACGCAGCUUACCCAAAACUGGGGAAUAGCCCGGGGAAACCCGGAUUAAUACCUCGUAACAUAAUGAAGUGGCAUCACUUUAUUACUAUAGCUCCGGCGGUUUUGGAUGGGCGUGCGCCUGAUUAGGUAGUUGGCGGGGUAACGGCCCACCAAGCCUACGAUCAGUAACUGGUGUGAGAGCACGACCAGUCACACGGGCACUGAGACACGGGCCCGACUCCUACGGGAGGCAGCAGUAAGGAAUAUUGGUCAAUGGACGCAAGUCUGAACCAGCCAUGCCGCGUGAAGGAUGAAGGUCCUCUGGAUUGUAAACUUCUUUUAUAUGGGAAGAAAUCCAUCUUUUCUUGGGUGGUUGACGGUACCAUAGGAAUAAGCACCGGCUAACUCCGUGCCAGCAGCCGCGGUAAUACGGAGGGUGCAAGCGUUAUCCGGAUUCACUGGGUUUAAAGGGUGCGUAGGAGGGCAGGUAAGUCAGUGGUGAAAUCUCCAAGCUUAACUUGGAAACUGCCGUUGAUACUAUCUGUCUUGAAUACCGUGGAGGUGAGCGGAAUAUGUCAUGUAGCGGU
rnacentral:rRNA from 1 species